GAUGAACGCUGGCGGCGUGCCUAAUACAUGCAAGUCGAGCGAACGGACGAGAAGCUUGCUUUUCUGAUGUUAGCGGCGGACGGGUGAGUAACACGUGGAUAACCUACCUAUAAGACUGGGAUAACUUCGGGAAACCGGAUCUAAUACCGGAUAAUAGUUUGAACCGCAUGGUUCAAAAGUGAAAGACGGUCUUGCUGUCACUUAUAGAUGUAUCCGCGCUGCAUUAGCUAGUUGGUAAGGUAACGGCUUACCAAGGCAACGAUGCAUAGCCGACCUGAGAGGGUGAGCGGCCACACUGGAACUGAGACACGGUCCAGACUCCUACGGGAGGCAGCAGUAGGGAAUCUUCCGCAAUGGGCGAAAGCCUGACGGAGCAACGCCGCGUGAGUGAUGAAGGUCUUCGGAUCGUAAAACUCUGUUAUUAGGGAAGAACAUAUGUGUAAGUAACUGUGCACAUCUUGACGGUACCUAAUCAGAAAGCCACGGCUAACUACGUG
rnacentral:rRNA from 1 species